rnacentral:rRNA from 1 species
ACGUUAGCGGCGGACGGGUGAGUAACACGUGGGUAACCUACCUAUAAGACUGGGAUAACUUCGGGAAACCGGAGCUAAUACCGUAUAAUAUUUCGAACCGCAUGGUUCGAUAGUGAAAGAUGGUUUUGCUAUCACUUAUAGAUGGACCCGCGCCGUAUUAGCUAGUUGGUAAGGUAACGGCUUACCAAGGCGACGAUACGUAGCCGACCUGAGAGGGUGAUCGGCCACACUGGAACUGAGACACGGUCCNAGACUCCUACGGGAGGCAGCAGGG